rnacentral:lncRNA from 1 species
CAGGCAACUAUGAACCUUAUGAUGAAGCGAAAGGAAUUAGGAACAAGGAAACAAGGGGACAGGUUGAAAAAAUGAAAGACUUCUAUGACGAAGGGAUGUACAGGUUACUAAAUUUUGGCCCAAAAUGACUCCUCAUAAAAGCCUAUCCACUCUUUCGGAGGGUUACCAAUCCUACUACCGACAUCCGAAGAUUCUAACUUGAUGGA